UUUUAAGUGCGCACUUUAUGCAUGACUUAAGACAAGAUAUUGGGUCUGGAAGAUUUAGUCUUCUACUUGAUGAAUCCACAGAUAUUAGCAUUGAAAAAUACCUUGGUAUAGUCAUAAUAUAUUAUAGCACAAUGUUGAAAAAAAUGACCACUACAUUUUUAAAGUUUGCUCCAUUCAUUAAAUGUACAGCUGUUGGUAUUGUUAGUGCGGUAAAAGAUAGUUUAAACGAAUAUGGUUUGGAUUAUAAAAAAAUAAUUGGCCUAGGAAUCCAUAACGUGUGCAAAACAAGUGUUAUGACAGGUGUUAAUAAUGGGGUAUAUGUCAUUCUCACAUAAGGAUAUUUCCAAAUUAGUUCUGGUUCGUGUGUCUGCCAUUCAAUUCAGCUCGCUGUCUCACAUGCUUCAGAAGGUACCCUUCCUUAAUUUCUGAAUGCUAUAAUUGGUUCUCUCAAUCAUCAACUCGGCAGGGUGAAUAUAAGGAAUUAUAUCGGACAAUUAAUGAAAGUCACGACCCACUUAAAAUUGUAAGAGCUUUUCAAACUCGAUGGCUGUCAAUAUAUUCAGCGGUAGACAGAGUUCUUAAGCAAUGGCUUCAGCUUACAACAUACUUUGAGGUUAACCGACAAAACUGUAAAGAUGACCUUUUAUACAAAAUGUUUCAAGAUUUGCAAAGGUAUCCAAAAUAGAACUGCCAUGUCCCAACAUUGAUCGUCUUAGUAUACAUGUGGAGGAUUAUAUGGAUACAAAGGUAUACCUGGGAUUUGGAUUUGAAUCUAAAAGUUCGAAAAUGAGAGAAGCCAAACUUAGAGAACAGGCUGAACAUGGUCUUCGGGCUCGAUGUAUUGAUUUCGUAAUUAAAUUGAUUCAUUAACUUCGCUAAGGUUACCGGACAAUAUCGAAGUUUUGCAAAGAACGUCUUUACUGUUGUGCAAAAAAUGUUUUAAGGAUCCACAAAGAAUCUUUGGCCCCAUUAUUGUUUCAUCAAAAAUAUACGGGAGAUGAAAUCACAUUAAUUUAAACCCAAUGGAGAGCAAUUAACUUCACCAAAUGAAGCGAUAUUAAUGAUACGGUAAAAUUUUGGUUAGAAGUUAGGGAAUAUGAAGACGCGACAGGUACUAAUCCCUUCAAAGAGCGAUAGGAUAUUUAAGUCGAAAGAAUAUUUAGUGUAAUGAAUGAAGUAAAAUAAAAAAUUCGGAACAAAAUGAAACAAGAUAUGGUUAAUGCAGUCUUAAAUACCGGGUGG